GGAGGGUACCCGAAUGGUUAGGAGACUGAUUCGAAAUCAGUUGCCGCGCAAGCGGUUGAGGGUUCGAAUCCCUUGCCCUCCG
rnacentral:tRNA from 1 species